rnacentral:rRNA from 1 species
GACAGAGGUCUCGAGCGUUAGGCGGAAUCACUGGGCUUAAAGCGUGUGUAGGCGGAUGCCUAAGUACCUUGUGAAAGCCCACGGCUCAACCGUGGAGGGUCAUUGGAAACUGGGGAACUUGAGUGCAGAAGAGAAGAGCGGAAUUCCACGUGUAGCGGUGAAAUGCGUAGAGAUGUGGAGGAACACCAGUGGCGAAGGCGGCUCUUUGGUCUGUAACUGACGCUGAGGCGCGAAAGCGUGGGGAGCAAACAGG